GCUGGGGGGAGAUGGAUCCUGUCCCUUCUUAGCGGCGUGAAGUCUCAACUUCCUCUUGGUUCCAGGGUGCGGUCCUCUGCUGGUCUUCAAUCUGCGUCCUCUUGUUGGCUCUUCUUCAGCGCCGCGGACAAAGAACAGGCGCAGACUGAAGAUCAGCAGAGGACCACACCCUGGGACCAAGGGAGAGUUGAAACUUCGCGCCGCAAAGAAGGGACAAGAUCCAUCAGCCCCCAGCCUUGGUUCCUGAUUCGGCUGACCCCUCUGCCUCCACCCAAUGAUCCGUAUUCUACUGUGGCGGACUUGGAG